rnacentral:rRNA from 1 species
AUUGAACGCUGGCGGCAGGCCUAACACAUGCAAGUCGAGCGCGCGGAGGACGGGUGAGUAAUGUCUGGGGAACUGCCUGAUGGAGGGGGAUAACUCCUGGAAACGGUAGCUAAUACCACAUACCAUCAGAUGUGCCCAGAUGGGAUUAGCUAGUAGGUGGGGUAAUGGCUCACCUAGGCGACGAUCCCUAGCUGGUCUGAGAGGAUGACCAGCCACACUGGAACUGAGACACGGUCCAGACUCCUACGGGAGGCAGCAGUGGGUAAUAUUGCACAAUGGGCGCAAGCCUGAUGCAGCCAUGCCGCGUGUAUGAAGAAGGCCUUCGGGUUGUAAAGCACUUUCAGCGGGGAGGCGUUACCCGCAGAAGAAGCACCGGCUAACUCCGUGCCAGCAGCCGCGGUAAUUC